GACGAACGCUGGCGGCGUGCCUAACACAUGCAAGUCGAACGGAAAGGCCCUGCUCUUGCGGGGUGCUCGAGUGGCGAACGCGUGAGUAACACGUGAGUAACCUGCCCUUGACUUUGGGAUAACAUCACGAAACAGGGGAUAUUAUCCGAUAGAUGUAUCUGCUGCCUGGUGGGGGUAGGAAAGUUUGGGCGGUCGGGGAUGGAUUGGCGGGUUAUCGGCUUGUUAGUGAGGUAGUGGCUUACCAAGGCAUUGACGGGUAGCCGACCUGCGAGGGGGACCGGCGACAAUGGGACUACGGGACGCAGCAGUCUGCUACGGUCGGCAGCAGGGGGGAGUAUGGCGCAGUGGGCGGAAGUGUGAGGCGGCGGCGUUGGGUGCGUGAAGACGUGUUACUGGUGAAGAACCGCUGUCGACUGUAACGAGGCGGGAGUGACGGUAACGAGUAAAGAAGCACCGGCUAACUACGUG
rnacentral:rRNA from 1 species